rnacentral:rRNA from 1 species
GACGAGGGAUCCUAGCGUUGUUCGGAAUUAUUGGGCGUAAAGCGGAUGCAUGUGGCUCUGUUAGUCAGAUGUGAAAGCCCAGGGCUUAACCCUGGAAGUGCAUUUGAUACUGCAGAGCUUGAGUGCUAGAGAGGUAAGUAGAAUGCCUGGUGUGGUGGUGAAAUACGUAGAUAUCAGGUGGAAUACCGGAGGCGAAGGCGGCUUACUGGCUAGACACUGACACUCGAGAAUCCGAAAAGCGUGGGGAUCAAACAGG